AUACGUAGGGUGCGAGCGUUGUCCGGAAUUACUGGGCGUAAAGAGCUCGUAGGUGGUUUGUCGCGUCGUCUGUGAAAUUCCGGGGCUUAACUCCGGGCGUGCAGGCGAUACGGGCAUAACUUGAGUACUGUAGGGGAGACUGGAAUUCCUGGUGUAGCGGUGAAAUGCGCAGAUAUCAGGAGGAACACCGGUGGCGAAGGGGGGUCUCUGGGAAGUAACUGACGCUGAGGAGCGAAAGCAUGGGUAGCGAACAGGAUUAGAUACCCUGGUAGUCCAUGCCGUAAACGGUGGGCGCUAGGUGUAGGGGUCUUCCACGACUUCUGUGCCGUAGCUAACGCAUUAAGCGCCCCGCCUGGGGAGUACGGCCGCAAGGCUAAAACUCAAAGGAAUUGACGGGG
rnacentral:rRNA from 1 species